GUGUGGUUCCCGAAUGCAGAGCCACCGGAGUGGCUCGACGGAAGCUUGAUCGGCGACCGCGGGUUCGAUCCGUUCGGGUUCUCAAAGCCCGCGGAGUACCUGCAGUUUGACCUGGACUCGCUGGAUCAGAACCUUGCGAAGAACGUCGCCGGCGAAAUCAUCGGAACAAGGGUGGAGGUUGCAGAGGUCAAACCGACGCCGUUUCAGCCAUACACGGAGGUUUUCGGGAUUC
rnacentral:lncRNA from 1 species